CCGGAUUAUUAUCUCGUCAAUCAAACGGGAAUAGGCCCUCUUUCUCCUCUUUCUCUUUCUAUCUGAAAAAUGGCGGAUUGGAACCCUAACCCUAACCCUAACCUAAAUCAAAAUCGAAACCGAAAACCAGAUGAAGAUACAGAUAAUGAUCUGGUGCUAGUUCCUCGCAUGCGACUAGAUUUCAAUCUUGUCUAUAAAGGUGGAACUUUCCAUUACAACCCUUGUACAAUGCUAAAAAUCAUCACAGGGGCGUUGAAGGAUAUCAUCGGUUAUCGUUUAUCGGAACAAGAUAUUCACUACAAAUCACCUGUUUUUACUGAUUUCAAGCGUUGGGAACCGAUCAGAGAUGGAUUUGGGGAUCCAGGGUUCUUCUACAUCCGAGAUUUGAGCUUUAUUCAUCAAUUCCCUGGUGAUAAUCCCGAUCAAAAAUUCUACAAUGCCAGACAAUCUAUCAUCGACGAACUGCGCUCCAAGAUUUUCACCGCCGGAAAACUAUCCGGAAUUUUUUCGGUUUUCGCCUUCGUUAAAACGUCUGAGGAUCCCCUCAAAUUUGUCAACCUUAUCCAACCAUGUGAUGGCUUGCCGCCGACUAUUAUUCUGAAGGGCUUUCCGUCUGAAUGGCUUGCUGAUAAGUCAUCAAUCUGGAAACUGUUGAAUAGUAUUGGCAAUGUUAGGGAUCUUGAUGUGAGCGGGAACGAUGUCUUGGUCAUAUUCCAGGACUAUGAACAAUGCCAUAAAGCAUUACAAAAACUGUGCUUGCAUUCUCUAAAGAAGAAUGGGGAUUCAAGAAUGGUUGAUUAUGAAUUGACUCUGAAGGACUGGGACAUCUCUCAUGAAGUGUUCACCUGCAACGAAUCAUGUAAUGGCUCUGCAGGAGUGUCCUCGAAUAACCAAAACCCACAUGAAGAUACAGAUAAAGAUCUGAUGCUAGUCCCUCGCAUGCGAAUAGAUUUCAAUGUUCACCCUAAGGGAGAUCCUUUUUACAACCCUUGUUCAAUGGUUGAAAAAAUUGCAUCUUCGGUGGAGCAUGUCAUCGGUUAUCGUAUAUCGACCAAAGACAUUCACCUCGAAUCAAGCUUUCCGGUGGUUUCUACGGGUUACGAAUAUCAUGAUCCUAUCAAGUAUAAGAGAUUUAUUACAAUUGGGGAUCCAGGGUUCUUCUACAUCCGAGAUUUGAGCUUUAUUGAUGAAUUCCCUGGUCAUGAUCCUGAUCAAAAAUUCUACAAUGCCAGACAAUCUAUCAUCAACGAACUGCGUUCCAAGCUUUUUACCGCCUCCGGAUCCGGAUAUUUUUCGGUUUUAGCUUUCAUUAAACCGUUUGAGGAUCCCCUCAAAUUUGUCAACCUUAUCCAACCAUGUGAGGGCUUGCCGCCGACUAUUAUUCUGAAGGGCUUUCCGUCUGAAUGGCUUGCUGAUAAGUCAUCAAUCUGGAAACUGUUGAAUAGUAUUGGGAAUGUUAGGGAUCUUUAUGCGAUCUGGAACGAUUUCUUUGUCAUAUUCGAGGACUAUGAACAAUGCCGUAAAGCAUUGCAAAAACUGUGCUUGCAUUCUCUAAAAAAGAAUGGGGAUUCAAAAACGGUUGAUUAUGAAUUGACUCUGAAGGACUCUGACAUCUCUCAAGAAGAGCUAACCUGCAAUGAGUCAUGUAAGGACUCUGUAGGAUUGUCCUCUAAGCAGGAUCCGACAAUAGAGAGCUCCUCUCUGCCUCUCCAACUUCGAGUGGAAAUGCUUGAGAAGGAAUUGAAUACUGUUAAAGCUUCUCUGCCUCUUCAGCUUCGAGUGGAAAUGCUUGAGAAGGAAUUGAAGACAGUUAAAAGCUUCUCUGUCUCUUUAGCUUCAAGUGGAAAUGCUUGAGGAAGAAUUGAAGACUAUUCAAGAUAUAAUGGUGGCAUGGUUACUCUCACUAAGUUCUGAUGAAUUUAGUUAGCUCCCCUCCACACCAACUUGAUGCACUAAGAACUCGUGGUUCGGACCCGUUUGCGCCUGCCUUGCAGUGUCGGCCGUCACAAGCACCGACCACCCGCACUCCGUCGCCCAAAUAGACGUGAGUGAUCCUGAGAUUUAAUUGUCCGCUUGUGUUGCUUUGUGCUCACAAGCCCUACUUCCGCACAAGGCUAGCGUUCUUGCCACCAAAAGGCUAGAGCGCGCCGCACGUUUCGGGGCCCGAAAUCCCGGACCGUGACACUGUGACUAGAGGGUCUAUGUAAUUGACUGAGAUGUGUUAAAGAGGACUCCAAAGGAUUUUUUAGGAUGAGGGUCUAUGUAGUACUUUGUAUAUCUGAUGCAAUAAUACUAUGAAUAUUAUGUAUUCCUAGGUACUAUUACUAGUUCACAUCGAAAAAAGGUACUAUUACUAGUUUACUACAGUAUUAUGCUGUUGAAUGGAGCUUCUAUUUUUUUGAGCUAAUAGUGUUGUAAUGGCUUGAUUAUUAGCUAGCUGUUGAAAGGUCAAUGUUUCUUUAGUACUUGUAACUAGUGUAGAGUGUCUGUUACUAGUGUAGACAUUGGAAAGAAAACAUGUACUGAAGCAAUGUUUUGGUCCGAUUUGAGAACUAUGAAGAGUGUCACAAGGCAUUGAAAAAGUUGUGCUCAUUGUCUGCUUUACGAAAGAUAUGUAACCCUUUUAUAUAUCAGAUGUGUACUGUCAAUUUUAUUUUAUUUAUUUUUAUUGUUGUUUUGAUCUUUCUCUAGCUCUCCUUGUUGCCUUGUUGUUGAUCCCAUACUGUUUGGAAAACCGAAAUUCCUCUCAUUUUGGAUAUAUUCAUAACAUUUCAAUGUUAAUAGGUUGCACCGAGCUUUUAGAUGGAGAUAUAUAUGCUGUCAUAACAUGUGAAGAGUUUAGGACCUUAUAUCUAUUCAAUCAAUUGAUUCUGUGUUUUGGCGAUUUAAGGCGGGUGGAUAUUAUUUGUUUUUCUCGUAUAUUAAAAAAAAAUAAAAAAAUAAUAAUUUAUCAAAUCACACAUGUCAUUAUAUAGUUAUGUAGAAUUGUAGAUUAUUUAUAGAUUUUUAUGACUUUAUGAGGAUCAUAGCCUACUUUGUGGAUUCGGACUAUAGUUACGAAGUAAUAGACUAGGUAUUAGAAUAAAAUGUUUGGGCCAUAAAAUUAUAAAGUAAUUUGCAGUAGAGAUAUUAAACUAGGAAAUUAAACAGAAAUUUCUUUUUUUGUCAUAUAAAUAUAUAAUGUAAGGCCUGUGAGGCUGUGACUAGAGGGUCUAUGUAAUUGACCGAAAUGAGUGAAAGAGGACUCGGAAAGGAUUUUUUAGGAUGAGGGUCUGUGUAGUACUUCGUAUUAUCUAAUGCAAUAAUAUGAAUAUUAUGUAUUCCUAGGUACUGUUACUAGUUUACUUUCAUGUUGUUGAGUGGACCUUCUAUUUUUUGUGAGCUUAUAUAGUGUUGUAAUGUCUUGAUUAUUAGCUAGCUGUUAAAAGGUCAAUGUGUUUUUAGUACUUGGUACUAGUGUAGACAGUACAUUCAAAAGGAAACAUGUACUGUAGCAGUGUUUUGGUCCGAUUUGAGAACUAUGCGGAGUGUCACAAGGCAUUGCAAAAGUUGUGCUCAUCGUCUUCUUUAUGAAGGAUAUGUAACCCAUUUAUUUAUCAGAUGUGUACGUAGUGUCAUCUCAAUUGUUGUUUUUAUCUUUAUUCAGCUUUCCUUGUUGUCUUGUCUUGUUGGUGAUCCCAUUAAGUUUGUAAAACCAAAAUUCCACUCAUUUUGUAUACAUCCUUAACAUUUCAAUGUUAACAUAUGACUCGAUCUUCAAGGCA